UAGUACUGGGGCCAUGGAUAAAGCCA
rnacentral:piRNA from 1 species